GUUCUUUUAGUUUAAUGGUAGAAUAGGAAUUUUCUAAAUUCACUGAUUAUGGUUCGAGUCCAUAAGAGAACU
rnacentral:tRNA from 1 species